rnacentral:lncRNA from 1 species
GUCUGCUUUCUCUGGAGCUCAGCCUCAAUGGCUCUAUUACGUCAGGAAACUUACAUGUAUACUAAUAAUGAUUGUUUCAAGUACAACGAUGUAUGGACGAACUAUUCUAAAUUCGUCAAUAUCAGUUAUGCAGGACUAAAAUAUAACUUUUUUUACAACUACUGUAUUACUUAUUUGGAUUAAUGACGGCUAUCAUGUUCAACAUUGCAC